CCGAACCGCCCGCCCCGCGACCCAUCCCAAUGGCGGCGCUCCCGCUCGCGCGGAGCCCCCACCCUGCCGCGGCGCUCCCGGCCCCGCGAGUUUCCCAAUUUGCCCCUCCUCUGCGCCCGCUCCGCUCCCCUCGCCGCCAGCACCGCUUCCGCCUCCGCUUCCCGGGAGCCGCUGCCGCCGCCGUCGCGGCCUCCUCGCCCCCGGAGGCGCAGGCGGCCCCCGCGGCGGAGCAGGAGAAGCGGCGGAAGCUGUACGUGGCCAACCUGCCCUGGUCCCUGCCCGCGCCGGAGCUCGAGGAGCUCUUCGCGCAGUGCGGCACCGUCAAGGACGUCGAGCUGAUCAAGGGGAAGGAUGGGAGGAACAGGGGGUUCGCGUUCGUGACGAUGUCGACGGCGGAGGAGGCGGCCGCGGCCGUGGAGAAGCUGAACUCACAUAAUGUAAUGGGGCGUUCAAUCAAGGUGGAGUUUUCAAAGAGCUUCAGAAAACCCGCUCCACCUCCUCCUCCAGGCACCGUUAUGGAGAGGCACAAGCUUUACGUCUCCAAUCUUCCAUGGAAAGCGAGAGCUCCCGAUGUCAAGGAAUUCUUCUCAAAUUUUAACCCGCUUUCUGCUAACAUUAUCUUCGAUAAUGGAAAAGCAGCUGGCUACGGUUUUGUUUCCUUUGGGACAAAAGAAGAAGCAGAGGCUGCUCUCAGUGAGCUUGAUGGAAAGGAACUUAUGGGAAGACCUGUUAUUUUGAAAUGGAAGGAAAGUGGCGAUGGUAAGGAUGAGGUUGUAAAAGCUGACGGUGAAGUUGAAACUGUAAAUACUGAUGGAGCAAGUGCGGAUGAUGCCAGCAAUGAUGGAGGUGAAGAUAAACAGGAAUAGUAAAAAAAAUACUAUACUGUCCUAGAGGAAGAAAGUUUCUUCUGCCUUAUUGAUAUAAGCACAGAUAUGGAGCCUUGUUGUACAGCAAGAAGUUUUUCCCCAUACUUCCUGACUGGGGCAUCAUUCAGGCUGCUAGGGAAAUCUUGACGAUGGACGAAACAGAGUACUAAAGGAGGGAGCUUUAGAGAUUCAGUACCUUCAUACUUGCUCAACUCUUCCCAGUUAGAGUCAUUUUCACCACCUGUAACAGAAUCCAAUAAAACAACAUAAAUACAAUGCUUAUGCUUGGCAUCAUCACAAAAACUAGUUAGACUAACUAUUUACUAGAAGACACAAGAGAACAUUUAAUUAAAAGUCCUAGAUUAUGCGGUGACCAUACUUCCUAUGUAACCACACAGAACUGAGCGAAAUUCUCCUGUACAAACCUCCUGUAAUCAUGUAACAGUGCUAUAAAUCAAUAAAGAACCAGGUGGGGAAGUCACCCCCCUCGGUUUGAAGUGUUCAAAAAAAA